GUUUGAACUAAACACUCAGGAAAACAAUGUUGUUCCUCUUCAUGGUGUUUUUCACUCUUGCUGAUGUUGAGGCUGCUGACAAUAGCAUUAAACCAGAACAAACCAAUGUAUUUUCAACGGAAAGCAGCAACAUCUCACUGUCCUGCACAUAUACUGGAUCAGUUUACAGUCUCCACUGGUAUCGACACAAACCUGGAUCAAGACCUGAGUUUCUGCUGCUCAUUGAUGAGAGCGGUAAAUAUGUCACACCAGCUCAACCACCUCAUCCACGAUUGUCCAUAAAACUUAAAAAUGAUCAAGAUAAAAAGAGUAAGAAAGUGGAUCUGAUCAUCUCCUCUGCUGCUGUAUCAGACUCUGCUCUAUACUACUGUGCUCUGAGGCCCACAGUGACAGGAAAUCCAGCUGCACUGUACAAAAAGCACUACACAUGACUGAAGCAGAGCCAUGCUUUUCUCACAAGAUGGAGCUGCUUACAUGUU